rnacentral:lncRNA from 1 species
CUUAAUUGUUCGAAAAUUAUUUUAUAUUGGUAAAUAAAGAUCAACUUUUCAUUGGGUAAAAGACCAGAAUUACAGUGUCGGACGUUUCUUCGUCGUUUGAUUGUUGGUACGUAGGAAAUAUUUAUCUGGAGUAGCCUUGGAAAGUCAUCCUUGGACCGGCCAAAAUUGCAAAGUGUCGGAAAGAUGAUUAUAGCUUCAACCCGUUACUUAUCACAAGCCAAGGCCAUGUUUGUCCGUAAAAAUCUAGUUCUUUUUACCCAAAUAAGUUAUAUGAAUAUAUAUGAAACAACAGUAGAUUACCGACUGUAAUGCUCAUAUAAGAACAACUGAAUAUACCGACCAAUAGAAGCUAUGAACUGCUGAUGAACUCCACACAGGACGCGAGCGGGUGCGUCGACAGGUUAAAUGCUGAAUAUACGAUAAAAGUGUAUUCCCUCAUUAUGCUAAUUACCAAGUAUUAUUUGUUGUAUUUUACGUAGAGACAGUAGUCAUAUACAGCAACACUACUUGAUUAAUCCACAAGAGUAUUAAUGUAAUCAUAUGUAAGAUAAUUAUACUAUAAAACGUCUCCACCCC